AAUGCCCCAGGAAAUAUGUAAACAUUAAAGAUAUAAGGCAUUACAAAGCAAUACAGAGACAUGACAAUAUCAUGUAACCAAUCUGAACAGAUCAGAGAGUUAAGAGAAAAGAGUCAGUGGAGCCUCUCAUAUCAAACGUUUUAAUCUACCAGCAAUGCAGUACCUCUGGGUGACUUUGAUUAUCUUAGUCAUGAGUCUUGUCUUCCAGCUAUGGAAGAGACCAAGAAACUUCCCUCCAGGACCAUGGGCUAUACCAGUGCUUGGGAAUUUCCUGCAAUUGGAUUACAGGAAUCCAGUCCAUGAUUUCAGCAAGCUGGCAAAAAGAUAUGGGAAUGUCUUCAGAAUCUAUCUAGGAAGUACACCCGUUGUCUUUCUUCAUGGGUUUGAAACUAUAAAGGAAGCACUGGUCAACAAUGCUAUAACGUUUGCUCACAAGCCCAAACAUCCAGCUUUAACAGCCUCAAAUAUAGG